rnacentral:sRNA from 1 species
GCUGGGCAUGGUGGCACACACCUGUAAUCCCAGCAGCUGAGGAGGCUGAGACAGGAGAAUCAUGAGUUCAAAGCCAGCCUCAACAAAAGCCAGGUGCUAAGCAACUCAGUGAGACCCUGUCUCUA